rnacentral:lncRNA from 1 species
GUUAACCCAAGCCCAUGUACACCCAUGACUCGACUUAAUCUCACCUAUCUUGGGCCCAGACCUAGCCCAUAAAGAGUUGGUCCCUUGAGGCCCACAUAACCUAGACCUCAAGAACCCGAAAGGCCCACAGCCUUUCAACCUAGGGCCCAACUAGCCCUAGAGCCUCCAUGAAGCCCUCCUGAAUAAUGGACCUUGGCCUUAGCCUUGGUCCCCUGGGCCUUGGGCACACCACCUGGAUCACAACAAUAUCCACCUUGGUGUCCCAAGGCCUCAACCAUCUCCACUCUAUCCAUC